rnacentral:lncRNA from 10 species
CAUUAAUAAACAGUUAUAUGAUACAAUACAAUUGCAUAAACUAUGAUAAGGAAAUAUGCAAUGUACUAUGAGAGAAAAACGGAUGAAGCAGCAACUAAUUGCCUGGGUAUUACAGAAUAAAACAUUACAGAUGACCUGACUUUUGAACAGCAUCUUUAAAUAUGAGUAGUUGUAGAGGGAAAGUGGUAAUCCAGUUAGAAGCAUGAGUGUAGUUAUAAGGUAUGUUUAGGCUGAAGUGGGGGUUAUAAGGAGGGAUGGCAGUAGGAAAGCUGUUGAAGUGGCUAAGGGGUGGAUGCUCAAGGGAUUUAAACAGACCAGGGAAUGUGACUGAGUUUCCUCUUUAACAAGGUGUCCCCAUGGUGAGGGAGGACUUACUGGUGAUGGGGAAGAACCAGAGUUGGGGAAAUAUAUAUGAUAAUGCUCCAAAUUACACCAAAGGAGAUGGAGACAUGAGGAAGAGAUUUAAGAGGGGUACUGCUGACCGAACUUGGUGAUCAAUUAGAUAUACAGGAAGGAAUGAUGUCAGCAACAGGGUGGAAUAGGAAUUUCCAGACUCUCCUCCACUCACAGAUACAUGAAAUCAACAUCUAUUUACAGAUCAAUUCCCUUUGAGAGAAAAUCAGGGACCAGUCGAGAGACACCCACUGGGCAACUGAGAAAACAUCCACAUUGAGUGGGUAGGAGAAGCCAAGCCACACUCAGGCAUGGAUAGCAUUCUGGGUCUAUUAAUCCCUUCUGGAAGGAGACUGUCCACACAAGCACCCCAAUGUUUACAGUUUCCAUCUGAGGAACUGCAUCCUAAAUCUUCUAGCUCUAGUAACAGAGGGGAUCUAAGCAUAUUUGAGUCUCUCUAGUCCACAGAAAAAAGUAGUGGUUUCAUAUGCAAGCAUUACCAGGGGCUUUAUCCCCUGGAAGCAGUGCAGAGAAGGGGCUAUAGAAAUGCAGCUCCUUGUUUCUCCCCAGAAGAGGCUUAUGCCAAGCAUCAAGUGCUUCAGUUUUUUACAGUUAUCUCCCAAAGGAUUCCAUCCUAAACCUCUUAGACCUGGGAGCAGAAGGGACUAGUCAUAUGUGAGUCUCCGUAGAUCACAGAACAAAGAGAUGGUUUUAAACAAGUGCACAAACACUUCCAGGGGUUAGACCCCCUUGCAGUAGUGCACAAAAUGGGUUGGAAUGUACAGCUUCCAUUUUCUUUCCAGAUGAGGUUUAUGGCACACAAUUCCAGUGGCUACUUGAUGGCCUGGCUUCUAAUGAACUUGCAUGGGGAGUUAAUGGGGCAGACAAACAGUAGCUCUACAGCAACCUGAGCCAGGGCUUGGCACUUCCUGAGCCAUUCCUUUGGCUCACCCCAAUGAUAAAUCCAGGCCUAUCCAUUCUUCUUGGGAAGGAGUUUUUACAUGCACUGAGUGCCACAAAUUCUACAUCUCCUACCAAAGGAACUGUCUCCUUAAGAACCUCACUCUAGGCCGGGUGCAGUGGCUCACGGCUGUAAUCCCAGCACUUUGGGAGGCUGAGGCGGGUGGAUCACCUGAGGUCAGGAGUUCGAGACCGGUCUGGCCAACAUGGUGAAAACCUGUCUCUACUAAAAAUCCAAAAAUUAGCCGGGCAUGGUGGUGGGUGCGUGUAAUCCCAGCUACUUGGGAGACUGAGGCAGGAGAAUCACUUGAACCUGGGAGGUGGAGGUUGCAGUGAGCUGAGAUGGCACCAUUGCACUCCAGCCUGGGCAGCAAGAGUGAAACUCUGUCUCCAAAAAAACAAAACAACAACAACAAAAAAUCCCCUUACUCUAGGAAUUGAUGGGACUUUGCAUUCCUGAGUGGCCUAGACCACAAAAAACAAAGAGGCAGAUAUACAAUGGGUCCACUUCCAGCAGCUAUUUCCCCAGGAACAGAGGGGUGCUGCCUGAAUGUGAAGACAGACAUUUGCCACAGAUUCUCUCCCCAGCUUUGUGCAGAGAGGGUGGGAGAAAAUGCUUGUGCUCAGCUUCACUGUGAAGAUAGAAGGAACUGGAAUACAUAUGCAACACCUCAACCUUUCCAACUGUAUCAAAAGAGUCUGCUUCUACCUUACCAAUCUUGGGGUAUGGAGAGGACAUAGCAUAUUCUUUUUUUCUCUCUUUAUUUUUAUUUAAUAUAUUAAUAUAGAGAUAGGGCCUUAUUAUGUUGUCCAGGCUGGUCUCAAACUCUUGGGCCCGAGUGAUCCUCCUGUCUUGGCCUCCCAAAGCACUGGGAUUACAGGCAUAAGCUACUGUGCCUGGCCAGGACAUGGCACAUUCUAAUCUCCAAGGGCCACCAAAACCAGAAACAGCAGUUUGGAUGAACAUAAAGGUUUGAGAGAAAAUUUAAAGUCUCUGGCCAGAUGGAUUGGUGAGAUUCCCUAUAUGAGGCCAGUCUGACAAGACUAGGAGAGGCAGUUCCUAUCUAAUGUAUAGAAACCAACAAAAAGGAAAGGUAACUGAAAAAAUAGGAGAGUAUAUUUCCAAAACAAAGAACAAGAUAAAUCUCUAGAACUGAUGUGAAGUGGAGAUGCAAUUUACCCAACAGGGAAUAGAAAAUAGUGGUCAUAAAGAUGCUCACUGAGGUCAGGAGAGCAAUGUAAGAACAAACUGAGAAUUUCAACAAAGAGAGAGUAUUAAAAAGUACCAAUCAGGGUGUGGGAGCAGUGGCUCAUGCCUAUAAUCCCAGCACUUUUGGAGGCUAAGGUGGGAGGAUUGCUUGAGCCCAGGAGUUUGAGACCAGCCUGGGCAACACAGGGAGAUGUAUCUCCACAAAAAUUUUUAUUAAAAAAUUAGCUAGGUGUGGUGGUGCAUGCCUGUGUUUCCAGCUACUCAGGUGGCUGAGGUGGGAAGAUUGCUUGAACCUAAGAGGUCAAGGCUCCAGUGAGCCAUGAUUGUGCCACUGCACUUCAGCCUGGGCAACAGAGCAAGACCCUGUCUCCAAAACAAAACAAAACAAAACAAAAACCAAAAGAAAACAAAGUACCAAACAGAAAUCAUAGCGCUGAAUAAUACUAUGACUGAACUGAAAAAUUAAAUAGAGGGAUUCAACAGCUGACUAGAUCAAGCAGAAGAAACGAUCAUUUAACUUAAAGACGGAUCAUUAGAAAGCAUCCAAUCUGAGGAACAAAAACAAAAAAGAACUUAAAAGAGUAAUGAUAGCUUAAAAGACUUAUGGGACACCAUCAAAUGUAACAGCAUAAGCAUUACUGGUAUACCUGAAGGAGAGGGGAGAGAUAAAAGGACAGAAAACAUUUUCAAAGUAAUAAUGGCAGAAAACUUCCUAAGCCUGGGUGAAGAAAAUAGAAAUCCUGAUUCAGGAAGCCCAAAAGAAACCAAAUAGGAUGAAUCAAAAGAGACUCAUGCUGAGACACAUCAUAAUCAAAUUGGUAAAAGUUAAAACAAAGAGAGAGUUUGGGAAGCAGCAAAGGCAGGCUAGAAGGAAGCGGUAUGACAUAUUCAAAAACCUCAAAGAAAAAAAAUUGUCAACCCAUGAUACUAUACCCAGCAAUCUUAUCUUUCAAAAAUGAAGGAGUGAUAAAGAUGUUCUCAGACAAAUAAAAGCUGAGAGAGUUUAUCACCACUAGACCUGGCUUACAAGAAAUGCUAAAGGAACUUCUUCAUGCUGAAGGAAGAGGAUGCUAUUUAGUAACAUUAAAACAUAUAAAAGCAUAAAAGUCAUUGGUAAAAAUAAGUAUGUUGUGAAAUCCAAAACACUCUAAUAUGGUAAGGGCAGUGGGUAAAUCAAUUAUAUCUGUAGUAUAAAAGUUAAGAAGCAAAAGUAUGAACAACUAGAGCUACAAUAAUUUGUUAAGAUGCAAAUAAUAAAAGAUGUAAAUUUUGACAAAAAUAUAAAAUAUAGGAGGAGGGGGAGUACAAGUGUAGAGUUUGUAUAAAUAAUCAAAGUUAAAUUGUCAGUAGCUUAAAGUAGCCAUUUAUAUGAUGUUUUAUAUAAGUUUCAGGGUAACUACAAAGCAAAAACUUACAAUAGAUACAAAAGAGAUAAAAAGAAAAGACCCAAAGCAUACCACUACAGAAAACCAUCAAACCACAAAGGAAGAAAGCAAUAGAGGAAGAAAGGAACAAAGCAUCUACAAAACAAUAAGAAAGCAAUGAUCAAGAUGGUGCUGGUAAAUUCCUACCUAGUAAAGUUAUGUUGAAUAUAAAUGGAUUAAAUUAUCCAAUCAAAAGGCAUAGAGUGUCUGAAUGGAUUUUAAAAAACAAAAAACCAAGACCCAACUAUAUGCAGCCUAUGAGAGAUUCAUAUCACCUUAAAGGACAUUCAUAGAUGGAAAGUGAAGACAUGGGAAAAAUAUUCUAUGCAAAUGGAAACCAAAAGAAAGCAGGGGUAGCUACACUUAUUUCAGAUAAAAUAUACCUUUUUUUUGUUUUGUUUUUUUGAGAUGGAGUCUCGCUCUGUCAUCCAGGCUGGAGUGUACUGGCAUGAUCUUGGCUCACUACAACCUCCAUCUCCCAGGUUCAGGCAAUUCUCCUGCCUCAGCCUCCCGAGUAGCUGGGACUACAGGCAUGCACCACCAUGCCUGGCUAAUUUUUGUAUUUUAGUAGAGAUGGGGUUUUACUAUGUUGGCUAGGUUGGUCUCGAAUUCCUGACUCAGAUGAUUGGCCUGCCUUGGCCUCCCAAAGUGCUGGGAUUAUAGACGUGAGCCACCGUGCCCAGCCCUGAUAAAAUAGACUUUAGAAAAAAACUGUAAAUAGAGACAAAGAGGGUCAUAUAUGGUGAUAAAGGGGUCUGUUAAUCAAGAGAAUAUUAUAAUUGUAAAUACAUAUACACCCAACAUCAUAGCGCCUAAAUAUAUAAAGCAAACAUUAAGAGAUCUGAAGGAACACAUAGACUGGAGGAACGCUAUAAUAGUAGGGGAUUUUAAUAUCUCAAUUCCAACAACAGACAGAUCAUUCAGACAGAUAAUCAAUAAGGAAGCAUUGUACUUGAACUCUACUUCAGACCAAAUAAACCUAACUGACAUAUAAAGAACAUUCUACCUAUUCUUUAAGUCAAAUAAUAAAUUAAAGGGGAAAUUUUAAAAAGUCUUGAGACAAAAAUGAAAACAAAACAUACCAAAACUUAUGCAAUACAGUGAAAGUAGUUCUAAGAGUAAAGUUUAUAGCAAAAAAUGUCUACCUUCAAAAUGAAAAAAGUUAUCAAAAAAACAAAUGUAACACCUCAAAGAACUAGAAGAAGAACAAACUAAGCCCAAAGCUAGCAGAAGGAAGGAAAUAACAAAGAUCAGAGCAGAAAUAAAUGAUUAGAGACUAGACAAUAAAUAGAAAAGACCAACAAAAUUGGUUUUUGAAAAGCUAAAUGAAAUGGACUCUUUUUUUUUCUUUUGAGAUGGAUUCUCACGCUGUCACCCAGGCUGGAGUGCAAUGGCACGAUCUCAGCU